UAUACGUCGAAACACACACAUCGUCAUCAUCAUCCAGAAUGUACGGCCUUAAGAUUACAUUGGUAUUGUGUUUGCUCGUUGCUACCAUUUUACACACAAAUGCGAAGCCAGCACCUAGAGGGUUGAACAAGAUGCGUGAGACUGUGAAACGCCGCCCUUUCCGUCAAGGAAAGUAUCAUGGUAUAAAAUGGUUUGGUAUGUCUGAUAGCUCCAGUUCGUUAUAUGAACCCUCUGACAGCUACCAAAAUUCUGCCUCUUCAUCGUCGUCAUGGUAGUGAUUACAUGCCAAUUUAUUGCACACAAGUAAUACACUCUGCAAUUUAACAAGUUGACGGUAUAUCAGCUUUCUAUUUCUGAAUGUAUUUUACCUACUAUAGUAGUCUGAGAUUUUACUGAUCUUUCACCUGGUUUCAAGAAGAAAAUAACUGUUUUACGGAAUAACUGUUUUUGUACACCUGAGCUCUUUUGCAGUGUAACGAUCUCUGUCCGACUGUGUUCAAAACACAAAAUGAUUUCAUUACUUUCUUUUAAAGACAUGUAUCGAUUUAAGUUGGGCCAUCUUCGCUAUCAAUCGCCUAACUACUCUGGGCCAGGGUACUUGUAUGUUUACAUCGGAUUCGCAAAACCGUGUGACCCGGACAAUGAACUUAGGAACGAACGGUCACAAUCACAUAAACAUGUUUUCUGUCGUAAUUUUGAAAGUUUCAAUUCAUGUAUUACGUUACAGAAAAAUAAAGUAACUCAAUGCUGGUGUUAUA